rnacentral:rRNA from 1 species
AACUUUUGACCCUGUGAACCCUUGCCAUCCUCUCGUAGGAUGUGUCUCGGUGUGCACGGGUCAUCGUUCUGAAGCGCAUUUCCGCCCUUGAUUGGGUGUGUUCUGUAAUUCAGAUCAUUUACUGUGAGUAAAUCAGAGUGUUCAAAGCAGGCAGCAAUGCUUGUAUGGUUCAGCAUGGAAUAAUAAGAUAAGACUUCGGUUUUAUUUUGUUGGCUAUGAAACCAAAGUAAUGAUUGAAAGGGAUAGUUGGGGGUGCUAGUAUUCAGUGGUCAGCGGUGAAAUGCGAGGACCCAUUGAAGACUAACUUAUGCGAAAGCAUU